CGCACAUGAGCCGCUGGGCAGGGUGAUCGGCAGAUCACAUCCGCCUUCCGGUGUUUCCCAUUUGGGGAAAUAUUUGGCUCAUGGAGGACGAACCGGUAAAGGAGAAGAUUA
rnacentral:sRNA from 1 species